rnacentral:rRNA from 1 species
GAGAAUUUGUCCCAUCUGCAUGCCGCGCCCGCACCCAACGCAACCCAAUCCCCUCGUCCCGCACGCCGUGCACACUUCGGUCCCCUCAUCCCGCACGAACCCUAGGAGAGAGAGAUAGGAUGAUGAGAGGGAGAGAAAGGGGAGAUGAGAGGAGAGGAAGGUCCGGCAGCGGACGGGAGAGGGUGACCGGCCGGCGUCGGCCUACACCGGCGAGGCGUCGGCCUGCGCCCCUCCUCGCGCACGAACCCUAGCUUGAGAGACAAAAUGAGGGGGAGAGAGAGAAGGAAGGAGAGGAGGGAGAAAAAGAGAGGAAAGAUGAAAGGGAGGUGCGGCGGCUGACAGGAGAGAGGGUCAUCGGCCAGCGCCGGAGAGGACGGGCCCGACCUGGACGCGACUUGUUUCCCUAAAUCAUGCCUUUUGUGUUGCAGUCUAAUUUCAAUCGAUUCGUCUCCUUCCUCACGCCUCGGAGCACGCUGCAGCCUGCAGGCGGAGUGGCAGCUAGGGUUGAGGCGGAGGGCGGAGCUCCGCCAAAGAUCCGACCCCCUCGCACGCGGCACAACCAAACCCUAACCGCCUGAUCCCAAUGCGCAGGGACCUCGGCAGCGAGGCAUUAGUGCGCCGGCACCGCGCACGGGCGCAGCUGUGGGUCGCGGUCGCGGCGCUUACCGGCACCAUCUGGCUCUUGUCCUCUUCCUCCGUUGUCCUCUUCGGCACCCACAGGGUCCAGGUGAUUUAGUUGUGUGAUGUUUGUUCUGCUUGGCGUUUUAGGGAAGGCCGAUAGCAAUGCCAUGAGAGUUAAAGUGAAGGCUAAGAUGCUAUGGCUAUGCAGGUGUCGGUGCUAUAUAACCAAGGCACUUCACAGAGCAAAUCUCUAAUGGAACUUUUAAAACAAGUUAAUAAUAUUUAACAAAUACAGACUCCUUGGUAAAGAGGUCGAAAGCAAGAUGGUAAACUGUAUCCAAUGCAGAACCACCUAAUAUGGGUACAAAGUAUUACUACCGAUAGGCUUAUUACCUGCAGACAGUGGCAAGUUGCGAUAGUUCUUUCCAAAAUUGUGUAAGAUCCAACUUCUCCAUAACUAUUAGUUUGCUUAAUCAGCACCCAAGGAUGUAACUUAAUGUUCCUAUGGAAAUUUGAGAAAUGUAAACAAUCAGUUUACUGCAUUAUAUAUAGUACUCACUCCGUAUCACAAUAUAAGAUGUUUUUGCAAGCAAAAACAACUUGCAGAAACAUCUUAUAUUGUGGGAGGGAGUAGGCCUGUAAACAUUGAAAUCAUGCUGGCUGCCAGAUUACGACAUAAAUAUAAGGACAUUUAUAAAAUUGACAACUAACACAUGAUGUUUCAUAACCUCAAGUUUUGCCAGCUGUGGGCUGUUAGGGAAUUGAUGCAUCACCACUGCUUAUUAAUCCUAAUGAAAAAGACUAGAGUAAGAAAAUUGAUAAAUAAAUAUUAAAAUUAAGCCAGCACAAAGUAUGGUCCUAUCCAUCAUGUUCUGCGACAUAAUAUUUGAUGGAUAAGAAAUAAUGUUACUCCGAAAAAGAAAUGCACCAAUUUUCUUAGAUAAAUUUUUGGUGCAUCACUUAUAUUAUCAGUUUCAAUUCAUUUGACAUAUAGAUUAGUUUAUGCUAAAUGUAUGGAAUUGAAUUGGAUAUACAAUGGUCAUUUAAUUUUUUACCAAAUUAUAUCUUGUACUGACAUGAGUGCUACUACUCAAGGAUUUUGUUGUAGAUGAGUUGUGGAGAACUGCAGAUUCAAAUCGUUGGAGAGCAUCUUUUGCACCACACACCUAUUGGCCUCCCCCACCAACUGAAUCCGAGAGCAAUGGGUACUUGCGUGUCCGAUGCAAUGGUGGCUUGUCCCAACAACGAAGUGCAAUAUGUAAUGCUGGCGCUCUAUCCAUGGAUUCCGGCAUUAGCUCGAAACGCUCAGGACAAAUUAGGUCUCGGCCAAUGGUGGAGAAGACGGAGUACAGGGAUGAGCCGCUCGAGCACGGUUUGAUGGGAUGUUCGCGCGCAAGAUGCAGAAGUUCGCUAGAAGGAAAAAGAGCUGGGCGUCGAGGAGGAGAAGAAGGUGGUAUGCAAGGUGCUUGCAGGCCCAGCAGCAGGAGGCCGUCCUUGAGGUGCUCCUCUGGAUGGUUCAUUCCGGCGCUGGGCCUACGUGUUCAAUGCUGCCCUCACCAUCCCCUUCUUCCAUUGGCUCAUCGGCCCGUCAGAGUUCAAAGAUCUAAUACUCCGCACUGCCUCCUGUCCAUUUUCAGAUAUAUAUAUUUAUAUAAGGUUUAUCGUCACCCCAUGUAUCAUAUGUUGUUGAUCGACCAGGUUAUUGAGGUGGAGGUCAACGGGGUGAGGCAGAGAAGUGGAGUGCUCAUAAAGAAACGAAGCUGCCUGGACUCGCUGCUGCCGCCGCCUCAGUCGCUUUCGCCUAGGCAUCCCGUCGCUAGCAAGGAGCAACUGUUGCUAUUGGGACUGGUGCUUGUGUAGUUGUUGCAGCUGUUCUUGAGGGCCGAGCUGAACAUAUUUGAAAAAGGAUAUUCUGACACCUAAUAAGGAUCAAGAAAACAACAAAGAUGCUAAGAGGCAACCUUUUGGGGUUAAUGAUAUAAACAACAACAGGGCUUAUGAGACCGAAGAGAGCUCAAGUGGUGUCUUUUGAUUCUUGAAGGCCUGCACUUUCCUGGUGGAGUAGCAACAAAAUAAUUCAGAGGCUUUAAAGCUAAUGCACUUCACGUAGUUAGGAUCAAUUCUUUGUUUCGGUUUGAAAUACUCCCCAGUUCCUCCUAUUUGAUUGAGUCAUCUGAUGGACAUUUUGUCAGGCAAAUAUUAGGCAAAGGAUAUGUACCUUUUUUUUAAUAUAGAAGGGUCUAAUUCUUAUCGUGUGUACUUGCUCAAACAAAAGAUUAUUGAAAAUAUGUAUAUUUUCAACCCGAUGUGGUUUUGAAUUAGACUCCACGCUACCAAAGUAAAAUGUGCAUGUACAUCUUAUUGUAGACAACAAACCUAUAUUAACUGAAGGGGAUUAAAUUUGUUACUGAUUUUUAUCG